rnacentral:rRNA from 1 species
UACGGGAGGCAGCAGUGGGGAAUAUUGCACAAUGGGCGCAAGCCUGAUGCAGCCAUGCCGCGUGUAUGAAGAAGGCCUUCGGGUUGUAAAGUACUUUCAGUCGUGAGGAAGGUGUUAAGGUUAAUAACCUUAGCAAUUGACGUUAGCGACAGAAGAAGCACCGGCUAACUCCGUGCCAGCAGCCGCGGUAAUACGGAGGGUGCGAGCGUUAAUCGGAAUUACUGGGCGUAAAGGGCACGCAGGCGGUUAAUUAAGUUGGAUGUGAAAUCCCCGGGCUUAACCUGGGAAUGGCAUUCAAGACUGGUUAGCUAGAGUCUUGUAGAGGGGGUAGAAUUCCAUGUGUAGCGGUGAAAUGCGUAGAGAUGUGGAGGAAUACCGGUGGGCGAAAGGCGGGCCCCUGGGACAAAGGACUGACGCUCAUGUGCGAAAAGCGUGGGGAGCAAACAGGGAUUAGAUACC